AACCGUUAUAACCGGCGAUGUCCGAAUGGGGAAACCCAGUGUGUUCCGACACACUAUCAUUAACUGAAUCCAUAGGUUAAUGAGGCGAACCGGGGGAACUGAAACAUCUAAGUACCCCGAGGAAAAGAAAUCAACCGAGAUUCCCCCAGUAGCGGCGAGCGAACGGGGAGGAGCCCAGAGCCUGAAUCAGUGUGUGUGUUAGUGGAAGCGUCUGGAAAGGCGCGCGAUACAGGGUGACAGCCCCGUACACAAAAAUGCACAUGCUGUGAGCUCGAUGAGUAGGGCGGGACACGUGGUAUCCUGUCUGAAUAUGGGGGGACCAUCCUCCAAGGCUAAAUACUCCUGACUGACCGAUAGUGAACCAGUACCGUGAGGGAAAGGCGAAAAGAACCCCGGCGAGGGGAGUGAAAAAGAACCUGAAACCGUGUACGUACAAGCAGUGGGAGCCCUGAUUUAUCAGGGUGACUGCGUACCUUUUGUAUAAUGGGUCAGCGACUUAUAUUCUGUAGCAAGGUUAACCGAAUAGGGGAGCCGGAGGGAAACCGAGUCUUAACUGGGCGUUAAGUUGCAGGGUAUAGACCCGAAACCCGGUGAUCUAGCCAUGGGCAGGUUGAAGGUUGGGUAACACUAACUGGAGGACCGAACCGACUAAUGUUGAAAAAUUAGCGGAUGACUUGUGGCUGGGGGUGAAAGGCCAAUCAAACCGGGAGAUAGCUGGUUCUCCCCGAAAGCUAUUUAGGUAGCGCCUCGUGAAUUCAUCUCCGGGGGUAGAGCACUGUUUCGGCAAGGGGGUCAUCCCGACUUACCAACCCGAUGCAAACUGCGAAUACCGGAGAAUGUUAUCACGGGAGACACACGGCGGGUGCUAACGUCCGUCGUGAAGAGGGAAACAACCCAGACCGCC
rnacentral:rRNA from 1 species